rnacentral:lncRNA from 1 species
GCUAGAGUAGUAAAGGCAGCAGCAAGAUGGAAGUCCCCUUUUUCCCAACCCUUUUCUCCUGUAUCAAAGGCUUGGUGGUGCAACAAGCCUUGUUCUCAACCUUGGAGGAUUGGCUAGUGAAGCAUCCCAAAAUCCUCCAGUUUUCAUGGGAAAAUGGCCAAACACCAGCCUCCUCUCACCGCUUCCUCACCCUCACUGUCUUGUCUUACAUCUCUUUCACCUUCGUUCUCUCCCAACUAUCUCGCCCUUCACUUUCACGUCCACUCCUCAAAUCAAUCGCAGCCGUCCACAACAUCUUCCUCCUUACCCUUUCUUUCAUCAUGGCCCUGGGUUGCCUCGUUUCCAUCUUCUCCCAGGUGCCUAACUUCAACACCCUCGUUUGCUUCCCUAGGGGUACAUCCCCAUCGGG